AUGGAUUAUGGUGGUAAUCAUGUAUUGCGAACUGUCUCGGACAGUCAACCCGCAGUCGUUGGUAUCGAUAGGUCCAUGUCGAUAAUUAACAUGCAUCAUUUCCCUCUGUGUGUUUAGGAUAUCUGCUUGCUAGGGAAGUGAAGCUAGAAUAAGUCUCUAGAGGCCCCCAACAAAUAGUUGUCUGUCAGGAACAAGCUGCUAGUGCAUAGUUGUUUGUAGAUCUUGUCAGUCUGGGUCUUUAGGGGCAUUGAACAACAUUUAUGUUUAAUUUAAAUCUGAGUUGUCGGAACGGGAUUAAUUGUUUGGAUGUUAUCUGUAAUAACUUGUUAUUUAUUCG
rnacentral:lncRNA from 1 species